GGUCCAGACAGACCGGGGAGACGAGGUCCAGACAGACCGGGGAGACGAGGUCCAGACAGACCGGGGAGACGAGGUCCAGACAGACCGGGGAGACGAGGUCCAGACAGACCGGAGAGACGAGGUCCAGACAGACGAGGUCCAGACAGACGAGGUCCAGACAGACCGGAGAGACGAGGUCCAGACAGACCGGGGAGACGAGGUCCAGACAGACCGGGGAGACGAGGUCCAGACAGACGAGGUCCAGACAGACGAGGUCCAGACAGACCGGGGAGACGAGGUCCAGACAGACGAGGUCCAGACAGACGAGGUCCAGACAGACGAGGUCCAGACAGACGAGGUCCAGACAGACGAGGUCCAGACAGACGAGGUCCAGACAGACCGGGGAGACGAGGUCCAGACAGACGAGGACCAGACAGACGAGGACCAGACAGACGAGGACCAGACAGACGAGGACCAGACAGACCGGG